GACGAACGCUGGCGGCGUGCUUAACACAUGCAAGUCGAGGGAGGGCCCUUCGGGGACCCGACCGGCGGACGGGUGAGUAACACGUAAGCGACGUGACCCUGUGCGAGGGACAACCCGGGGAAACCCGGGCUAAUACCGCAUGGUCCGUGGGGCCUCAUGGUUCUGCGGGGAAAGGUGGCCUCUCCAUGGAAGCUACCGUGCAGGGAGCGGCUUGCGGGCUAUCAGCUAGUUGGUGAGGUGACGGCUCACCAAGGCGACGACGGCUAGGGGGUCUGAGAGGAUGGCCCCCCACAUUGGGACUGAGACACGGCCCAGACUCCUACGGGAGGCAGCAGUGGGGAAUAUUGGGCAAUGGCCGAAAGGCUGACCCAGCGACGCCGCGUGUGGGAGGGCGCCCUUCGGGGUGUAAACCACUGUCAGGGGGACGAAUGUCGGUAUGGUGAAUAGCCAUGCCGGGUGACGGUACCUCCAGAGGAAGCGCCGGCUAACUCUGUGCCAGC
rnacentral:rRNA from 1 species